CAGAACCAGAUGGGUAUCUGAAUGGUACAUUCAUACAAAUGUAUCCUGGGACACUUUAAAACCCUAUUGGAGGUGUUGCUGUACAUUUUAAGUUUUUCCGCUCAAUCGGCUCACAUUUAAAAAUAAUAAUAAUAAUAAUAAUUUCGUUUUUUUUUUUUUUUUUUUUUUUUUUUUUUUUUUAUUCGUUUUGUAAAGAAAUGGAUAUGUAAGCACUAGGCACAAUACUUUACAAUACCUUAUUACCACGGUGACGGGCCAAGUUUCUGAUCACCCAAUAGGAUGAGGCCAAUCACACGAAGCACGGUUCUUCACUGAAUAUCAUUAUGAAAAAUAUGAAGACUUUAAAAACAAUUACACGGCUAUGAAAGCUCGGUAGGACUGCUGGAAAGAAUAAAAAAACAUCUGACAGUAUCAAUGCAAGUGAGUUCAUAAUGAGACAUGGUGAUGCUCACCUUCAAAUGCUAAACAUCAUGGAUACAGGACAACUGAAAACGUGAACAUUGUGUUUGAUUCACCUUUGAUUAGCCAAUAUUGCUUUAUUUUAUCCUCAGGUUUAUGCAGAAAUAAGAUAAAAUUGUACACUAUGGCAAAGGAUGCCAUUAAUAAACGGACUGCAAGACUGUGCAGAAAUUCUUGCAAUGACAAAACUCAAAAAAAUUAUAUUAAUUUAGUAAUAUGUGCGUGUGACAUAAACUCCGCAAAACAUGCAGUCUGGCUGCCAAUACUAACUAGUCUUGCAACUCCUCUCCAUCCAGGAACCAAACCCCUGUGUUUACGGACAAACUGGAUAACACCAUCAGACGUCAUCAACCUGGAAAUGGAAAUAAAAUGUGACAUUCUGCUAUUAAAGUACAAUUUAAAGGGUCGCAGGCAGUGGUGCGCUCUGCUCCUCCACUAGUGCUGCUGAGAUGAGUGGCAGCCUACCUGGAAAAACACCACACAACACGGGAGAAAUCAAUGGAUCUGCACAGGUGUGAAAUUGGAUGAUCGUGUUUUCUUCGUGUAAUGGAAGUAAUUACAGCCACAGUUUUGAACAUGUCCAUUUUAACUCAUCAUUUGAUCAGACUGACAUCUUUACACAAAACUGAAAUAAAACAGAAAAUUAGACAUUUAUUUUCA
ensembl:lncRNA